CAUCUGCCUUGGAACCACCAACAGGCUUCCGGCUAGGGUUAGGCAAAUGAGUUCAUAAGAUCUAGAAGCGAGCAGGAUUCCAGCAACAUACAAAGUGCUGGAAGGAGGCUGCUCAAGGUUGAAGAAAAUGAAAAAGAAAUGGUAUCACUCUGUCCCAAACUGGACUGUCACCUCCAGUGCUGAUGUCCUUACGGAUGCCUGGGAGGCACCAUGUGGGGCAGACCCCUUAGAGUCCGAGCAAGAGCCUCUCCCGCCUGUAACUACUCUACAGCCACGACGGCUCUGGCAGAGCCCGAGAAACCCGCAAAUACAUCCAUGAAUAUUUAUUCAGCCAGUAAAAA
rnacentral:lncRNA from 1 species